UACGGAGGGGGCUAGCGUUGUUCGGAAUUACUGGGCGUAAAGCGCGCGUAAGCGGAUCUGCAAGUCGGGGGUGAAAUCCCGAGGCUCAACCUCGGAACUGCCUUCGAUACUGCGGGUCUCGAGUCCGGGAGAGGUGAGUGGAAUUCCUAGUGUAGAGGUGAAAUUCGUAGAUAUUAGGAAGAACACCAGUGGCGAAGGCGGCUCACUGGCCCGGUACUGACGCUGAGGCGCGAAAGCGUGGGGAGCAAACAGG
rnacentral:rRNA from 1 species